CAAUAGCGUAUAUUAAAGUUGUUGCAGUUAAAAAGCUCGUAGUUGGAUUUCGGGUUGCGCCGGCCGGUCCGCCCAUGUGGUGUGCACUGGCCGGCGCUUCCUUCCGUCUGGAGGCCGUCACUUCCCUUAACUGGGCGGUGCCGGGGUUCAGAUCGUUUACUUUGAAAAAAUUAGAGUGUUUAAAGCAGGCUAUUGCUCUGAAUACAUUAGCAUGGAAUAAUGGAAUAGGACUUUGGUCCUAUUUUGUUGGUUUUCGGGACCGAAGUAAUGAUUAAUAGGGACAGUUGGGGGCAUUCGUAUUUAAUUGUCAGAGGUGAAAUUCUUGGAUUUAUGAAAGACGAACUUCUGCGAAAGCAUCUGCCAAGGAUGUUUUCAUUAAUCAAGAACGAAAGUUAGGGGAUCGAAGACGAUCAGAUACCAU
rnacentral:rRNA from 1 species